AUUGAACGCUGGCGGCAUGCCUUACACAUGCAAGUCGAACGGCAGCACGGGAGCAAUCCUGGUGGCGAGUGGCGAACGGGUGAGUAAUAUAUCGGAACGUGCCCAGUCGUGGGGGAUAACGUAGCCGAAAGCUACGCUAAUACCGCAUACGAUCUAUGGAUGAAAGCGGGGGAUCGCAAGACCUCGCGCGAUUGGAGCGGCCGAUAUCAGAUUAGGUAGUUGGUGAGGUAAAGGCUCGCCAAGCCGACGAUCUGUAGCUGGUACUGAGAGGACGACCAGCCACACUGGGACUGAGACACGGCCCAGACUCCUACGGGAGGCAGCAGUGGGGAAUUUUGGACAAUGGGCGCAAGCCUGAUCCAGCAAUGCCGCGUGCAGGAUGAAGGCCUUCGGUUGUAAC
rnacentral:rRNA from 1 species